AUGGAUGUCUUACCAGACAUGGUUAGAUCUGGAUGCUCUGUCUAAUACUGUCUGGUAAUGCCGUCCAU
rfam:Cricetulus griseus cell line CHO-K1, whole genome shotgun sequence.